GUGGGGAGGCUGGAUCCUGGGCUGUGUCCCCGAUGCCCAGUGCUCCUGGGCCUGCGCUUUUGGAUUCGCGCUCCUGGCCACGCAACCCCCU
rnacentral:pre_miRNA from 1 species